GUAUUACCCCGGCGGGGACGACGGGGGCAAGAAGGCCGGGGUGUCCCCGCUCGCUAAGGACCACUGAGCCGCGUGCUUUCGGGAAGCGAGGACGCGAGGCGGCGCGGGCACGGCCGCCCCGAGGGCCUGGCUUUGCGCCCGCUUCAGGGAAACGGCGCCGGCUUUUUUAAAUCUGUGGACAGACAAGCGUGUCCUGAGAGCUGAGAUUUAGAAAGGCUCUUAGGGCACCCCCUUUCUCGGAGUGACACUAAACCCUGGAAACCCAGUGGAGGACCCCCUAGCGUUUUCUGUAGUUCUAGGACCUGCUUCCGAUGUGCGACAAGACGGAGGGUAAGGCAACAGUUGUCACUGUUGCCCGGAAUGGAUGGGAAGAAAAAUGUGAGGAAAACCCACUGGAGGCACAGGGAACUGCCAGGCGGCCGGGAAAAUGCUCAUCUCAGAGCCUGUGAUUUAGAGAAACUAACCCAACGCAGUGAAGGCUCACAGUCUAGGAAUUAAAGUGUUUCUCUCAUAAAGAAAAAAAAGCCUUUGCCCUUCA
rnacentral:lncRNA from 1 species